rnacentral:rRNA from 1 species
UAAUACGAAGGUGGCAAGCGUUGUUCGGAUUUACUGGGCGUACAGGGAGCGUAGGUGGUUGGGUAAGCCCUCCGGGAAAUCUUCAGGCUUAACCUGGAAAGGUCGGAGGGGACUGCCCGGCUAGAGGACGGGAGAGGAGCGCGGAAUUCCCGGUGUAGCGGUGAAAUGCGUAGAGAUCGGGAGGAAGGCCGGUGGCGAAGGCGGCGCUCUGGAACGUUCCUGACACUGAGGCUCGAAAGCGUGGGGAGCAAACAGGAUUAGAUACCCUGGUAGUCCACGCCCUAAACGAUGGACACUAAGUGUCGGCGGGUUACCGCCGGUGCCGCAGCUAACGCAGUAAGUGUCCCGCCUGGGGAGUACGGCCGCAAGGUUG